rnacentral:rRNA from 1 species
GCUUACGGCCAUACCACUCUGAACACGCCCCGAUCUCGUCCGAUCUCGGAAGCUAAGCAGGGUCGGGCCUGGUUAGUACUUGGAUGGGAGACCGCCUGGGAAUACCAGGUGCUGUAAAGCU